UUGCAAAUUUGAAAAUUAAUUGAGUAAUUGCGUUUUUUGAAAGAUAUGUAAUUUCACUCAGUACUCCGAGUCCCUGGAGUGUUUAGUUGAUUUACUCCAUAAUCCUUAGAUGACCCUUUGCCCAAUGGCUGCCGUAUCAUCGUGACGUAGUAGCCACUGACUUGGUUGCGGAAGCUGCUGUCAGACUUAUUGACUGUUAUCUUUCAUGAGAUCAAGACACAUGACAAGUAACACUAUGUUGUCAAAAGGUUUUGUUAAUGUUAUUGCAGCUACACCAAGGCUAUGGAUAUUACUAUGUACCUCCUAACUAUAACCAGAAUGUAGAAAGCAGAUGCCUUCUAUUCUCAAACCCAGUUUGUGGCGAUGAUGGAAGAACUUAUGCCAACGAAUGCACCUUGAAGCAAAAUCGUUGUGUAAAAAAAAUAUCGGAUGGACCUU